CGCGUAGGCGGCUGUGAUAGUCAGGUGUGAAAUCCUUCGGCUUAACCGGAGAACUGCAUCUGAAACUUCAUAGCUAGAGUACAGGAGAGGGAAACGGAAUUCCCGGUGUAGAGGUGAAAUUCGUAGAUAUCGGGAGGAACACCAGUGGCGAAGGCGGUUUCCUGGCCUGAUACUGACGCUGAGGCGCGAAAGCGUGGGGAGCAAACAGGAUUAGAUACCCUGGUAGUCCACGCGGUAAACGGUGAACACUAGGUGUGGGAGGUGUAAUACCUUCUGUGCCGAAGCUAACGCGUUAAGUGUUCCGCCUGGGAAGUACGGCCGCAAGGUUGAA
rnacentral:rRNA from 1 species